GAACAGGCACAGAGCCUCUGCAACCACGCCUAACAACCUGGACUGCUGUCGCUGAUUAUGCAUCAGAUAUCAUAGAGACACGGCCUCCCGAACAAUGCACACCUCCAUCCAGCUACCCCUGCGGCAACAGUUCCUUCGCAUCUGGCCCACCCCAAGCUACCUCUCUGGCGCCUCUUUCACAGUCAUCCGGUGCUGAGAUACCACCGUUACCACUGCGCCAUAAUGAUGUUGGUAAUCUUUCUGCUGAAGACCAUCCAGCCCAUCCACCCUGUAUAGAAGAUCUCUCAUGUGUGGGACACGAACAAGAUUCUAUGUGCCAUGCAGGACACGAUGUUUGGUUGGCCAAGGCAGUCUGGGACAAAGUCUUCCAGUACAAGGAAGACUCAAUGUUUAUAAAACAGGCUGCCUUGGCCAUCUGGCCAGCAUCAGUGCUUCAGGGGAAGACGGUCACGGGCACCCUCUCAAACCGGGUGAUUUCUGAAGGCCACACCCAAAUUAAGCAAGCCCUGACACCAAGAAAGAUGAACGCCC